rnacentral:rRNA from 1 species
UGGUUCCGAGCUCGGAUCCAAUAGUACGGCCCGGCAGUGUGUGAAUUUGGGCUUCUGGGUAGUCCACGCCGUAACCGAUGAAUGUUAAGUGUGGAGGGUUUCCACCUUUUCAGUGCUGCAGCUACCGCAAUAAGCAUUCCGCCUGGGGAGUACGACCGCAAGGUUAAACUCAAAGGAAUUGACGGGGGCCCGCACAAGCGGUGGAGCAUGUGGUUUAAUUCGAAGCAACGCGAAGAACCUUANCAGGUCUUGACAUCUUUUGACAAUCCUAGAGAUAGGACUUUCCCUUCGGGGACAAAAUGACAGGUGGUGCAUGGUUGUCGUCAGCUCGUGUCGUGAGAUGUUGGGUUAAGUCCCGCAACGAGCGCAACCCUUAUUGUUAGUUGCCAGCAUUAAGUUGGGCACUCUAGCAAGACUGCCGGUGACAAACCGGAGGAAGGUGGGGAUGACGUCAAAUCAUCAUGCCCCUUAUGACCUGGGCUACACACGUGCUACAAUGGACGGUACAACGAGUCGCAAGACCGCGAGGUUUAGCAAAUCUCUUAAAGCCGUUCUCAGUUCGGAUUGUAGGCUGCAACUCGCCUACAUGAAGUCGGAAUCGCUAGUAAUCGCGGAUCAGCAUGUCGCGGUGAAUACGUUCCCGGGCCUUGUACACACCGCCCGUCACACCAUGAGAGUUUGUAACACCCAAAGCCGGUGGGGUAACCUUUUGGAGCCAUCCGUCUAAGGUGGGACAGAUGAUUAGGGUGAAGUCGUAACAAGGUA